GAUGAACGCUGGCGGCUUGCCUAUUACAUGCAAGUCGAGCGAACAGACGAGGAGCUUGCUCCUCUGACGUUAGCGGCGGACGGGUGAGUAACACUUGGAUAACCUACCUAUAAGACUGGGAUAACUUCGGGAAACCGGAGCUAAUACCGGAUAAUAUAUUGAACGGCUUGUUUAAAUAGUGAAAGACGUUUUUCCUGUCACUUAUAGAUGGAUCCGCGCCGCAUUAGCUAGUUGGUAAGGUAACGGCUUACCAAGGCAACGAUGCAUAGCCGACCUGAGAGGGUGAUCGGCCACACUGGAACUGAGACACGGUCCAGACUCCUACGGGAGGCAGCAGUAGGGAAUCUUCCGCAAUGGGCGAAAGCCUGACGGAGCAACGCCGCGUGAGUGAUGAAGGUCUUCGGAUCGUAAAACUCUGUUAUUAGGGAAGAACAAAUGUGUAAGUAACUGUGCACGUCUUGACGGUACCUAAUCAGAAAGCCACGGCUAACUACGUG
rnacentral:rRNA from 1 species